CCUACGGGAGGCAGCAGUGGGGAAUAUUGGACAAUGGGCGCAAGCCUGAUCCAGCCAUGCCGCGUGUGUGAAGAAGGCCUUAUGGUUGUAAAGCACUUUAAGCGAGGAGGAGGCUACUGAAGUUAAUACCUUCAGAUAGUGGACGUUACUCGCAGAAUAAGCACCGGCUAACUCUGUGCCAGCAGCCGCGGUAAU
rnacentral:rRNA from 2 species